CACAUCUGAAUAUGGGGUUCUAGUCCCUCCUUAAAAAUCACCCAUUGGCUAACACUCACAGGUGUGUUACAGGAAGUGGGGCUCAGGAUCGAAAUCCACUGACGUCAGUGAGAACCACCAGGUACCUCUGCUCUCAAAGCAUCACCAACCAAAAGAAUAACCAAGCAUUCUAGAACUCUCCCUUCCCGUAGGACUGCCUCCAUCUCAGGGCAUUUUCACAGGACUAUCAGAGUGGUAGGUUAUGGACACAGAGCACCUAGAUGGCAACAAAGCAUCCGAUGGUCAUUCAAAGCAGAGCUGAGCAAGACGGGAAAUGCUGGGCCAAGUGACAAUUCAGUUUGGUGGACUCAGAGUUAGCUGACCACAUCCGAGGACACUAACAACACAGAGGAGCAGCAGUGACCUGGAGGGAGGUCCUUGUACAGCACAACUUUGUAGAUUUGUCAUUGGUUAAUGUUUUCAUCGAGAUAUGCUUAUGGAGACCACAACUAAUUCACAGCUGAAAGGGGACAGUUAAUUAAUUUGAAGAAAGAAUAGAGAUUUUAAAUGAUUUUAGCAGGCUGGGAUGACUGCCAGAACGGACCAAAACAACAAAAGAACUCCUAAAAUUAAUAGAGAUAAAAUCCUGCUCUUGAUUGUAAAAUGUCUAUGUAUUGUAUUUAUAUAGGAUAGUGUCAUCACCUGCCCUACACCCUCCAAUCUGCUCAGCUGGGCCACCUCACCCUCGUUCACAAGGUCUGCCAGCAAGCCUGACCCCAGGCUCUGGGUCAGUGAGGCUUCAGGCCACUCAGACUGGCAACAAUGUUAUGACCCUGACUUCAGACCUGGGGCUUCCUUUUACUCUUUGGCCUCAAGCUCAUGUCUUGGGCCCCACCCCAUUUCGGCAGGCAACUCUGUAACUUGUUCUUCUGGACCCAACUCUUUUUCAUCAGCUUUCUGGCUGGAGUCUUGUCCCUGUACUUGACGAGUGCUCCUUUCAUCUGGCCCCUCAACCUGCUCAGCCAGACAAUUCUGCCAAACAUCUGUCCAUCCGGACUGCCACCUAUGGAAGAACAUCCCAGUGCUGUCCCUUACCAGACUGUCCUAACUGCCUCUUGUUCACUGCCUGCUGCUGGUGCCAUCCCUAUGAGCAUGCCCCAGCCCAUGGAUCUAUCUGUUCUCUGGAUCCCCAUCUGGACUAUAUUCUGGAUCUCAAGCUGAUCCCAUCUUGCUACUGACAGAAACCCAGCUCUUCUACAUGGCAGGGGCAAAGGGGAUGGGUUUAAAGCAAUUCAUAUUUUAAAGUGUUAAAGGUUUUUAUUGAACACAAGCUCAAUGAAGCUGGAGGUGCGACAGAGCGGCUAAAUUAGAGAUGUAAUCUUGGUCUGCAUUACGACAGCAUUUGAUGAUACAGAAAACAUGUGCAUCUCACAAGGCCUAAGAGUAUUAGGAAUAGAGUCCUUACUCUACACUGGUCAAGCCAUCUCUGAAGUAUUGUUGAUGUCUGAGUGCCAUGUUUUUAAAGAGACAAUGACAUAAAGGGAAGGCAUCCAGGAAGAAGUAUCCAGAAUGACAGAAUGCCUGACAUCAGCGAAAUUGUAAGUCUAUGCAAGGCAGACAACCAAAGGAUUCCGACCCCUACCCAGCAGGCUUGGCUGUGGUGGAACAAAUUAUGCAGCAUCUCAAGGCUACAGGAGGAAGCCUACAGAGCAGGCUGAAAGACUCCUUUAUCCGCCACAGAAACAGCAUUUGGAGAAUCAUCACCCUUUUCCAAGUAGUGAGGAAACUUAACCUCUCUCACGCAUACAGCACAACUGCAACCUCACAGGAUGCCCAAUUCAACAGCAGGCUCUGAAAGAAUGAGUCUUCCCUCCACCGUACUUUAGAAACCGGUACCAAAAGGAAAACUGAAAACCUAUUUGGAGCUGCUGGCACAAGGAAUCUUACUGGUGCACAAGGAAUCUUAUCCAUCCAUACAUCUAUGUGGCAUCAUCCAAGUUGUUUUUCACGCUUACUAAACAGAUGGAGUUAAUUAACGAAGACAAUCCAUAUAUGCAUCAUCCUGCAGCCAUAAACCAGAAGGAUGUCACAGCUUUAACUUCAAAGACUCCCAGCAAGCACACGCGGCCUGAGAUAUUUUUAGACGCCAGUUCCAUUGUUUCAAAGAGGAUACGGUAGGAUGAAACAGAAUUUCCUAAAAGUAAAAUUCACACGGCAAUCCCUUCUAGCAUGAAGAAUGGCAUUUGUUUUCAAAACUAGGUAUAUCUUUCUUAAAUCAAGGCUGUGUCUCUGAAAAGUUGAGAAUAAAUAAAUUUUAGUCAUCCAAUGUUUAAGUGAAAUAGAGUUGCAUUUUACUUAAACGACUUUUAUAUUUCUAAAAAACAAUUUUUUUAAAAAAUUGACCAAUUAUUCUCCGACUUUAUCUUUACUCUUAAUCCAGAUUUCUGGAAUAUCCAAGUUUUAAGUUUCUAAAGCUUAAGGCAAGAUAGACCCCUCCCUCCCAAUAUGUGUGUGUGUGUGUGUGUGUGUGUGUGUGCGUGUGUAUGAAUACAGAUGUGAAUAUGUAGUUAGACAGACAUUUGAAAUAGUUGACCAUGUAUUCAAUUGUGGGCUUGUGGGCAUUAGGGCAUUUUCCAUGCUUUUAUUCUUCCUGCUGAAGUAGUGCUGAUGUUUCGUUUGAGAAUCAUGACUGAAGUGACCCAGAUUCCCCAGUGGAAAAGGCUGAUUUGUAAAUGUUGCAAAUGUGUGCUCGACUGCAGGAACGGAAGCCAGAGGACGAGGCCCUGACCAAAAAUGAACCACUCCCAACUGUUUAGAUCAGAUCAAAUCCUCCAUCUUUGGGAGAAUACACAAAGAUUUUUAUUUUUAGAGAAAACUCUAAAAAUAAACCUUCGAACUCUCUCCUGAUAUGGCCAUCCCUCCAGCCCCCACUGCUCUUGUAUUUCCAGAUGCCUAGGGGACAUCUCCUCAGGCACCUCACCAUAGGGCGGUGCAGGCAGAGGAAAAGACACAGUCAAAGAGGCAUUAGCCACAUGCUCCAGGAAUGGCAAGAGGCUUGGUAGUGCUACAGGCCAGAGGGGGCGAGGUGAGAGGACGGUGGUGGGCUGGUGGGAGAAAGGUGAGAAACAAAGGCAGAGGCCAGAGCAUGAGAGCGUAUGCCAGCUAGGAGGUCCGCCAAUUCGGGGCACACGGCUGCACUGCCCAGAGUAUUUUCAACCCGCCUUUCUCCUAGGAAGGGGCAGGAAAAUAGAGACAGCCCCCAGCAGAUUCCUGGCACUGAGCUAAGCGUCAUCAUUCCUGUCUCACCAACCUUACUGGGGGAGUAUAUUUUCUCCUAAUUGGCCUUCAGGGCCCAGGACAAAUCCACUUUUCACUCUUGUUUCCCUAUGGUCACACUUCUAUGCAGAAGUAGACUCCUCUCCUCUGUGUCCUCAUAGCACUUUACACAGUCCCUGUGUUCACGGUCUCCCCUGCUCGAAUGCCACCCGUCUGUGGCCAGGAUGGCACAGUGUCUGCAACACAACAGGAGUUGUGCCAUCUCUGCUGAUGGAGGGGUGAAGGGUGAAGAGGAGCGGUGACAGAGUAACUAAGGAAGAACUGACCAACAGAGGUGAAAGAAACAAAACGGCCCUGGAUCAAGCCGGCCCUGCUCCCUCCUGCAUGCGUGAGUAGGAGUGUGUGUUGGGGAGGGUGGAGGGUAUGAACCUGGGGAGUACCCGGAUACCACAGACAGCAUAUAGAUAACCAGGAAAUGACUUUUGUUUUAGAUUUAGUCCUGAGUCUCUAGCUAUAAAUAAAUGACAAAGAUCCAAUCUGGAGAUUCUGCCGUUAUUUUUAAUAUUGCCCAGUGUUUCCUUUUUACUUAAAAAGUAUGACUGAGAAACUGAGAUUCGACACAUUAGUCAUGAUCACAUCUCAUAUGUGAUGAAGGAGAUUUACAGGCCAUGAUAAACCCAAGAUUUACAUCGUGGUUUGGGUUUUUGUUCGAUUAUUUUAAGAAAAGGAAGACUGAGAGAGAAAUGAGAUAUACUUUUCUCUUGCCACAGAAUCUCCUCUAUUCCCAAAUCAACCUUUUCACUACUUGCAAAAGAUUUAAAAUAUUCAUUGACCUGCCAAAAAACAUCUGCACACUACCAGACACGUCUUCACACAUUCACAUCUGAAUGGCUUCUUUCUGCUCCAGUGAUCAUAGCUCUAUUCAAUCAAAACUAAAGUGAGAACCUCAGAGCUGUACGUGGUGUGAUGUCAGUGGCGACCGAGGAUAAAAUGGCCAUUUGAUAGCAACUUCCAUCUCAAGCGUGUCAACAGGGACAGUGUUCCUUCGGUUAUUCUUAACUUAGGCUCCAAGGCACAAAAAAGACCAGGCAGGGCCAGACUCUGCCACAAUUCCAAAGAAAGCUGAGACACACACAGAGCACACACAGAAGCUCCUCAAUGUUUUCUGGCGAAGGGGCAGCCCCUGGCUCCCCGCCUGAAGCUUGGGAACAGGCCCACUCUCACAGUGGGCUCCCGAGGCCUCCACAGCUGCACACGGACACGCAGGGCAGUGUCUGGGAUGGUCCACGCUCAGGGUCACCACGUCUCCUGUGUGCCCAACAGCUGGAGCAGGCCCUGGAGGCAGAAUCCAGCUCAGACAAGGCCCUUUGUCUUGGGGUAUUCCUCGCUACCCCACUUCCCUAGGAAAACUGUGCUUUCCUCUAGCCAUUCAUUCUGGCUCCAGACUAGCUCAUUCUCCCGUGUCCUCCUGCACACAUGAACCUUCUAACAAGGUUCCAGAUGGUAGUGACUGCAACCUCUUCUCCCAUCUUACCCCACCCCAAGUAAAGGGGCAGUGUGAAGUACACAUUCACCAUGGGGAUGGGCACAGGCCAGUGACAAGGUUGGUAAGAGGUGGAUGCCAUUCGAAGGACAUCUUCAGCACACUGACAUCAAGGGAACCCUUGAAGGAAUUCGAAGGAAAGGGUCUAGUCUGCAAUAGGACAGCAAAGGUGACUGUGAAUGCCUUGAGUCUCCUGCACUGGGAGGACACCAUGGGACUCAGCCAAUGUCAUAUAUACUUUGUCCUACUCCCUCAUUCAUUUCUUUUAUAUACCUCACUGAAAAGGUAACAUAUGCUCAUUGCAAAUCUGGAAAAUCUGGAACCCCUGUUAUGAUGUUGGAGCUUUCCCCUUCUGGUCAGUUUUUCUAUGCACAAUGAAACGUUCACACUUCACUGCAGCACCUCCAUCUUGCACGUCACUACUGACAGCACAUACAACUUACUUCUGAUAGAGGCAAACAAGAAGGGAGCACCCCAGACACGAACAAUGUACCUAGCACAAUUAAUUUCAGGGUUUAUUUCAAGCAGUAAGGUGCAAAACGGAGGCUCUACCAUCUAAACAUGCCUCUCACCACUGGCCUACGAACUACUCUGCAAAAUACACAAUUCUGGUCCACGGGGAGGAAGCAGUUGGCUUGGAAAUCAAGUUCUAUCCCUAGCUCUGCUAUUUAUUUGCUCUGUGAUUGGGUAGGGGGAGGGGAUGCAGCAAGGGUCACAUAUUAAACCACCCACAGGGGCCAGGAAGGUAAAAUGAAUGAAGGAAGCAGGUGAGAGGCUGCAGGUGCGGGUUGAAGACCCUGCCUGUCCCAAGGGACCAACCACAACCCUGCUGGGCAGGCUGUUGUCAUGAGAGAAUACAGGCUCACUUUCGCCAGACCUUCCAAUUUUUUUUAAGAGAAUUGAGAAACUUCGUUUUUAUACAAAACUGCCCAAUUUUAAAAUGUUGGCUUAAAUUUUUUAAAUGCACCCAAUAAAACAUAAAUGAGGGUAUGAUCCAGCUCACAGACUGAUGUGCUAUCUUUAUAAGUCAUAGAUGUAUCCCUUGGUUUCUCUUUCUGUUAAAUAGGAGAUUGACUAAUUUUGGAGCAAGGAAGGGGCUUUAUUAUCAUCUAACAAAAUAAUUCAAGUACAUUCAGAUGCACAAAGUAGGGUAACAUGAUCUCUUAUUUUUUUUUUUUUUUUAAAGAUUUUAUUUUUUCCUUUUUAUCC